rnacentral:rRNA from 1 species
CCUACGGGAGGCAGCAGUGGGGAAUAUUGCACAAUGGGGGAAACCCUGAUGCAGCGACGCCGCGUGAGUGAAGAAGUACUUCGUUAUGUAAAGCUCUAUCAGCAGGGAAGAAAAUGACGUUACCUAAGUAAGAAGCCCCGGCUAACUACGUGCCAGCAGCCGCGGUAAUACGGAGGGGGCAAGGGUUAUCCGGAUUUACUGGGUGGAAAGGGAGCGUAGACGGCAGUGCAAGUAUGGAGUGAAAGACGGGGGCUCAACCCCCGGAUUGAUCUGGAAACUGUACGGCGGGAGUGCAGGAGAGGUAAGUGGAAUUCCUAGUGUAGGGGUGAAAUGCGUAGAUAUUAGGAGGAACACCAGUGGCGAAGGCGGCUUACUGGACUGUAACUGACGUUGAGGCUCGAAAGCGUGGGGAGCAAACAGGAUUAGAUACCCCUGUAGUC